GAUGGACGCUGGCGGCGUGCCUAAUACAUGCAAGUCGAGCGAACGGACGAGAAGCUUGCUUCUCUGAUGUUAGCGGCGGACGGGUGAGUAACACGUGGAUAACCUACCUAUAAGACUGUGAUAACUUCGGGAAACCGGAGCUAAUACCGGAUAAUAUUUUGAACCGCAUGGUUCAAAAGUGAAAGACGGUCUUGCUGUCACUUAUAGAUGGAUCCGCGCUGCAUUAGCUAGUUGGUAAGGUAACGGCUUACCAAGGCAACGAUGCAUAGCCGACCUGAGAGGGUGAUCGGCCACACUGGAACUGAGACACGGUCCAGACUCCUACGGGAGGCAGCAGUAGGGAAUCUUCCGCAAUGGGCGAAAGCCUGACGGAGCAACGCCGCGUGAGUGAUGAAGGUCUUCGGAUCGUAAAACUCUGUUAUUAGGGAAGAACAUAUGUGUAAGUAACUGUGCACAUCUUGACGGUACCUAAUCAGAAAGCCACGGCUAACUACGUG
rnacentral:rRNA from 1 species